GACGGAGGAUGCAAGCGUUAUCCGGAAUGAUUGGGCGUAAAGCGUCCGCAGGUGGCAGUUCAAGUCUGCUGUCGAAGACCGGGGCUUAACUUCGGAAAGGCAGUGGAAACUGAACAGCUAGAGUAUGGUAGGGGCAGAGGGAAUUCCUGGUGUAGCGGUGAAAUGCGUAGAGAUCAGGAAGAACAUCGGUGGCGAAGGCGCUCUGCUGGACCAUAACUGACACUCAGGGACGAAAGCUAGGGGAGCGAGUGGG
rnacentral:rRNA from 1 species